rnacentral:rRNA from 1 species
UCCAGACUCCUACGGGAGGCAGCAGUGGGGAAUAUUGCACAAUGGGGGGAACCCUGAUGCAGCGACGCCGCGUGGGUGAAGGAGCACCUCGGUAUGUAAAGCCCUAUCAGCAGGGAAGAACAAUGACGGUACCUGACUAAGAAGCACCGGCUAAAUACGUGCCAGCAGCCGCGGUAAUACGUAUGGUGCAAGCGUUAUCCGGAUUUACUGGGUGUAAAGGGAGCGCAGGCGGCGCGUUAAGCCUGGUGUGAAAGCCCGCGGCCCAACCGCGGGACUGCAUUGGGAACUGGCGCGCUGGAGUGCCGGAGGGGUAGGCGGAAUUCCUAGUGUAGCGGUGAAAUGCGUAGAUAUUAGGAGGAACACCAGUGGCGAAGGCGGCCUACUGGACGGUGACUGACGCUGAGGCUCGAAAGCGUGGGGAGCAAACAGGAUUAGAUACCCCCGUAAA